rnacentral:tRNA from 1 species
GGGUUCAUGGUGUAAUUGGUAGCACAAGUGUCUCCAGAACACUUAGUUCGGGUUCGAGCCCCGGUGAUCCCA